rnacentral:rRNA from 1 species
UACGAACUGUGCAAACGUUAUUCGGAAUCACUGGGCUUAAAGAGUUCGUAGGCGGCAUGAAAAGUAGGGUGUGAAAGCCCUCGGCUCAACCGAGGAAUUGCGCUCUAAACUGUCGUGCUAGAGGAACCUAGAGGUGAGCAGAACUGAUGGUGGAGCGGUGAAAUGCGUUGAUAUCAUCAGGAAUACCGGAGGCGAAGGCGGCUCACUGGGGGUUUUCUGACGCUGAGGAACGAAAGCCAGGGGAGCGAACGGG